CACGGUGGUGGGAGGAGGGAGUCAGCUGCCUGGCUCUAGGCACUGACCGUGCCCAGCACCUCUCCCCCUGGUCUCCGCCAGGAAUGCAUGGUCCAAGUAUGCAUGAGGACACAGACUGGCAAGAUCUUUAUGACUGGUUAAGACUCAAAGAUGAGAAGACAGGAGACCUGAUGAGUGAGUCCAGAGGGCUCGAACCAGAAUCAGGAGAGCUGGCAAAACAUGAUGUGGCCAGAGUGCCAUGGAAGUCAAGGCGAGCGGUGGACUCCACCUGCUGGGCAUGAAGAUACAGAGCCAGCACGAAGACAGAGAUGACGAUGGGUGUCACCACCUUCAGCGCCACCUUGGUCGCAUGCUCAGGGCUGUCAAGAAGAACCACCAGAAGUUCCUGUCUGACUCUGACAUCCAGCCUCAACUUCCUCGCAUGUUGCUCUUGUGGCAAGACAAGGGCAUUUCUGCUGGAUCACCUGUUCUGCCCUGCCCAUCUCCACCUGGAUCUGCUCCUCGCAGGCCCUCAGAAUGAAAGAACAGCUGAGCAGAUGAGCAGACGAAUCCCUUGCCUUCCCUAGCCCCAGUAGAAGCUGGCUGUGCCCUACGACUGAGGUGCCCUGUGCUGCCAGGACCCAGGCUCCUGCCAUCCGUGCCACCCUGGACGCUCCCCAGAUCCCGCAGAGGACCGAAGAAGGUGCUGCAUACAUGGCAUUGGCGGUGACCAGAAGGUCAGCGUUGUCAAAGAGGGUGACGCCGGGCACCUCGACAAUGAGCACAUAGAUGAACUCGAUGGCCAGCAUGAGCACCAGCUUCCCGAUGCAGCUGAUCUGCAGGAACACGGAGCAGGCCAGCAGGCUGAGCAGCACACUGUAGGUGAAGUACUGGAGAGAGAGGGCCUGUCAGAUCCCAUGAGGCCCUGGGCCUCACUGGCCCCUCCCCACUUUCACCUGACCUGGGGGUGGGGCUGAUGGAAGGCAGCCAGCAGGGGAGACAAAAGGCCCAGAGCCUGUCUAGGGAACUGGAGGUGGACUCCGGGAUGAAGUGGACCCAGAAGUUGGUACAGAUCAACUGUCAGUCGGUCAGCAGAUCCCCUGGCAUAGCUCCAAGCUCAGGCUGACCUGACUCGCCCUCUCUAAGCCUCAGUUUCCCCGUCAGUAAAGCUCCCUUUCAUAUAUGUCCAUCCAUGAACACCGAUGGUGCUAUGCCUGGCACCAUCAGCAACUGCAGGGAACAAGGGCCCCACCCUGAGCUACGGUUCGAACAAGGACAGUUCUAAAACCCAUAAGGACUUUCAGAACUCCCCCAGCUGACGGGACACCUGAACUAGCCUGCCUAAUGACAUGCCAGAUGGUAAGUGCCACCUUCACUCCACUUCCUGCGACUGUUCACACACGUGCCUGCAGAGACAGUGCUGUCUGGCCAUCACGUUCUGCCCAGCCUCCUCUGUGGGCAUGUGUGAAGCAAACUCCUAAAAUCUGAGAGCGUCUGCAGGCCCAAUACACUGGCUCUAAAUGAGGCUUCCCCAGAGAGACCACCAGGCCCUGCACUAUGACCCUGGAGCCUAUCUCUGUCCUCUGCUGGCGGAGGGGCUGAGCCAGCUGAUCUCAGGGCCCUCGUGGAUCUUUCAUCUCCUGGUGCCAGUUCCAGACUUCAGCAUCUGUUCUUUGGCUCUUUACAUCCGGGACCAUUAUUUCUGAGUUUUCUCCACCCUCACUGUUUCAACGGCAUCUCUGCCUCUGGGCUGCAGCCGGCUAGUAGGGACUAGCUGUGGGCAGCCCCGGGCUUUCAAGAGUCAACCAAGGUACUGUAAGGGAGGUCCCUGGUGAUUAAAGUCAGCACCAGCAUCAGAAAGGAGAAGACAGGAGAGCCUGCCCAGAUAAUUCAGUACUAGAGUCCCAUCUACCCGUCCCGUAGAGGGAAGGCCCUUACCAUCCAGCCAGUACCUGGUACAGGAUAGGUACUGCCUACACCUCAGCUAUGCCGUGAACACUGGCUUUGUAAUAAGGAGGCUCCUGGGGCUUGGAAGGGACUGGGAGAAGGAGCCUUUGUGGCCACCACCUUGCCAGAUCUGUGGGGCCAAGUGGGGAAGGGCAGGAACAUCUGCCUCUGCCGCCAUCCCCACACCCUGCCCCCGUCUCUCGAACCUCUGGGAAGUUGCAGUUGGGCUGGGGGCUGCCACAGAAGCCCUGCUCGUCACCCAGGCUGUAGUUGAAGGCCGACUCCAUCACGUGGCACGCGUUGACCUGGUUCACCGUGAUGUUGUACUCCGUUGCCAGGCAGCCCACCAGGUUCUUAGAGUUGCACAUGAACUAGGGUGGGGAAGAGGAGAUUGAGGUUGGUCAGCCCCUGCAAGCCAGGCUAGGGAGGUCCAUCCCACACGAUGGUGGGCAGUACGAGUCCACCCUGUCUUUGAAGCAUGGCUGUACACACACCAGGAACAAAAGAGGCACCUGAAGGACACCUUGCUCUGGCUACAGACAUGGCACACCCAUGUACUUCCAAAGGCGGUGCCUUGUAAUCCAUGCUGGGGACAUCCCCUGUACUCUUUCUAGUUUGAAAACAAGGAACUGAAAGCCUGUGUGAGAUGCUAACAACAGUCAAAUUAGACCGCAGCCUGAGACGGGACAU